GACGAACGCUGGCGGCGUGCUUAACACAUGCAAGUCGAACGGUGAACCGGGCUUCGGCCCGGGGAUCAGUGGCGAACGGGUGCGUAACACGUGGGCAACCUGCCCCAGACACUGGGAUAACCCCGGGAAACCGGGGCUAAUACCGGAUACUCCGAUCGGAUCGCAUGACCCGAUCGGGAAAGCUCCGACGGUCUGGGAUGGGCCCGCGGCCUAUCAGCUCGUUGGUGGGGUCAUGGCCCACCAAGGCGACGACGGGUAGCUGGUCUGAGAGGACGACCAGCCACACUGGAACUGAGAUACGGUCCAGACUCCUACGGGAGGCAGCAGUGGGGAAUCUUGCACAAUGGGCGAAAGCCUGAUGCAGCGACGCCGCGUGGGGGACGAAGGCCCUCGGGUUGUAAACCCCUUUCGGCAGGGAAGAAGCGCAAGUGACGGUACCUGCAGAAGAAGCUCCGGCUAACUACGUGCCAGCCGCCGCCGUAACAC
rnacentral:rRNA from 1 species